rnacentral:rRNA from 1 species
UACGUAGGGUGCAAGCGUUGUCCGGAAUUAUUGGGCGUAAAGAGCUCGUAGGCGGUCUGUUGCGUCUGCUGUGAAAUCCCGGGGCUCAACCCCGGGCUUGCAGUGGAUACGGGCAGACUAGAGUUCGGUAGGGGAGACUGGAAUUCCUGGUGUAGCGGUGAAAUGCGCAGAUAUCAGGAGGAACACCGGUGGCGAAGGCGGGUCUCUGGGCCGAUACUGACGCUGAGGAGCGAAAGCGUGGGGAGCGAACAGG